UGGAAAGGACAAUCAUAGAGGGUGACAGUCCCGUAGACGAAAGGGAGAGGCUCCUUACCUGUGCUUAAGUACCACGGGACACGAGGAAUCUUGUGGGAAUCUACCCUGACCACAGGGUAAGGCUAAAUACCCUUGAUGACCGAUAGUGAACAAGUACCGUGAGGGAAAGGUGAAAAGCACCCCGGGAGGGGAGUGAAAUAGACCUGAAACCGUGUGCUUACAAGCAGUCAGAGCCUCAAGUAAUUGGGGUGAUGGCGUGCCUAUUGAAGAAUGAGCCGGCGAGUUAAUCUGUGUAGCUGGUUAAGCAACUUUCGUUGUGGAGCCGAAGCGAAAGCGAGUCUGAAUAGGGCGAUUUAGUUGCAUGGAUUAGACCCGAAGCCGGGUGAGCUACCCAUGGCCAGGGUGAAGCUCUGAUAAAAUCGGAGUGGAGGCCCGAACCGUUCAGUGAUGCAAAACUGUCGGAUGAGCUGUGGGUAGAGGUGAAAUGCCAAUCGAACCCGGAGAUAGCUGGUUCUCCCCGAAAUGCAUUGAGGUGCAGCCUCAGAUGUUAGCUAAUGGAGGUAGGGCUCUGGAUGGACUAGGGGGAGAGUAUCUUACCAACUCCAACCAAACCACGAAUGCCAUUAGCCAAAAUCUGGGAGUGAGACUGCGGGGGAUAAGCUCCGUAGUCGAGAGGGAAACAGCCCAGACCAUCAGCUAAGGUCCCUAAGCACGGACUAAGUGGGCAAGGAAGUAGGACUGCACAGACAGCCAGGAG
rnacentral:rRNA from 1 species